GGCUAUCUAAGUCCGGUGUGAAAUCCCACGGCUCAACCGUGGAACUGCAUUGGAUACUGAAUGGCUUGAAUACCGGAGAGGUUAGGGGAAUUCUCGGUGUAAGGGUGAAAUCUGUAGAUAUCGAGAGGAACACCAGUGGCGAAGGCGCCUAACUGGCCGGUUAUUGACACUGAGGGACGAAAGCAAGGGGAGCAAACAGGAUUAGAUACCCUGGUAGUCCUUGCCGUAAACGAUGUGGAUUAGGUGUCGAGGGUGUUGAUCCUUGAGGCGCCGACGCUAGCGCAUUAAAUCGACCACCAGGGGAGUACGGUCGCAAGACUGAAACUCAGAGAAAUGGACGGGGACCCGCACAAGCGGAGGAGCAUGUGGUUAAAUUCGAGGCUACGCCAAGUACCUUACCCAGGCUUGACAUGUAGUUGCCAGCCAGCGAAAGCUGGCGCUCCCGCAAGGGACGAUUACACAGGUGCUGCAUGGCUCUCGUCAGCUCGUGCUGUGAAGUGUUGGGUUAAGUCCCGCAACGAGCGCUACCUUUUUCUUUAGUUGCCAUCAGGUUAAGCUGGGCUACUCUAGAGAGACUGCCGGUUAUAAACUGGAGGAAGGAGGAGAUGACGUCAAGUCAGUAUGGCCCUUAUGCCUGGGGCUACUACUACGUGCUACAAUGGUCACUACAAAGGGCUGCCAACCCGCGAGGGGGAGCUAAUCCC
rnacentral:rRNA from 1 species